rnacentral:rRNA from 1 species
ACGAACGUUGGCGGCGUGCUUAAUACAUGCAAGUCAACUGAAGCAGUGGUAGCAAUAUCGCUGUGGAGGUGGCGCACGGGUGAGUAACACGUAGGUAAUCUGCCUUCAGGUCUGGCAUAACUCCGGGAAACCGGGGCUAAUAGCAGAUGAUGCAGCGGCUCGACAUCGAGACAGUUGUUAAAGCUAUGGCGCCUGAAGAUGAGCCUGCGUCUGAUUAGCUAGUUGGCGGGGUAACGGCCCACCAAGGCAACGAUCAGUAGCUGGUCUGAGAGGAUGAUCAGCCACACUGGAACUGAGACACGGUCCAGACUCCUACGGGAGGCAGCAGUAAGGAAUAUUGCUCAAUGGGAGAAAUCCUGAAGCAGCAACGCCGCGUGAGGGACGAAGGGCUUUUGCUUGUAAACCUCUGUAGUGAGAGAAAAAAAUCCCAAUCUUUGGGACAUGAUGGUACCACAAAAGUAAGCCCCGGCUAACUACGUG